rnacentral:rRNA from 1 species
AUAACUAUCUGCUCGCCAAAUAACUACGAGUUAUAACUUAAAAUUUAAAAGACUUGACGGUACUUCACACCAACCUAGAGGAGCCUGUCUAAUAAACCGAUAAUCCACGAUUAACCCAACCUACUCUAGCCCAAUCAGUCUAUAUACCGCCGUCGACAGCUUACCUUAUGAAAGAAACAAAGUAAGCUCAAUAAUAGCACACUAACACGACAGGUCGAGGUGUAACUAAUGAGUGGGAUCAAGAUGGGCUACACUUUCUAAUACAGAAAAAACGAACAGACUAUGAAACUACAAACCGAAGGUGGAUUUAGCAGUAAGUUAAGAAUAAACACACAUAAC